rnacentral:lncRNA from 1 species
CUAACCUUGGAUUCAUCCAAAGUCUCUAAAAGGAGUUAUUUAAGUGGAGGUGGAGAAUCUGCUAUUCACUAAAACACCAGCACGAGCAUCCUCAUGGCAUUUUAACAAGAAAUAGCUAUGGAGGCAUUUUCUGUUAAUAUUUCAAUGUACUAUAAGGGCUCCUCUCCCUGUACUCAGCAGAGCAGCUCCGCUGGGUGACAACCGGAAGGUGGGCUGCGAUAAGCGCGGUGCUGCUGAGCCUCGCAGCGGCAGCAGCCUCUAAGCCGGAGCUGCAUGGAGCAACUGCUUGGAUGGGCUGUGGUGGCCGUGCGACUGGAAACAUCAUUAUCAUAAUGAAUAGGCACAGAUCUUGAGUGGGCUGACAGCGCUGGAUUUACAAACCUGUGCUAAAGCAUGCUGGCUGGA